UACGUAGGGUCCAAGCGUUAUCCGGAAUCACUGGGCGUAAAGCGUUCGUAGGCGGUUUUUCAAGUUGGGUGUGAAAUCCUGUGGCUCAACCAUAUGGACUGUGCCCAAAACUGAAAGACUAGAGCAUAGUAGAGGCAAGUGGAACUUGCGGUGUAGGGGUGACAUCCGUAGAUAUCGCAAAGAACACCAAUGGCGAAGGCAGCUUGCUGGGCUAUUGCUGACGCUCAGGAACGAAAGCGUGGGGAGCGAACGGG
rnacentral:rRNA from 1 species